GGAAUAUAAAAUAAGAAAACAACUUCCCGCCCAUAUAAAACACUGCGUUUAGACUAUGCAAAAAAUAUCAGGAAACACAAUUAUUAAUUACCUAGGUAUUUACAAUUCAACUUUUCGUAUUCCAAGAACAUUGUCUCAGCCACCACUAUUAAAUUACUAUCUAAACCAAUGCUAUUAAUCAAAGACACCACAUCUGUCCUACAUGAUAAGCAAAUGAAGAUAAGGUUCUGUUCUGUUCGUAGAGAAUUUUAACCUUCUAAACCAUCGAGCAAAUGAAGAAGCUUACAGGUUCCGUUCGUAUAGGAUCCAAGAGAAAAUCUGCUGACAACAACAAAGGAUCUGGCUUACCACUUUUGUCAUUGAAGGGGUCCUCAAGUGUAGGUAGGCUGAAACACAUGCCCUAUUGAUUCAGAAUAGACCUAAAUUUCCAACUCAAGAGAAGUAAUCACGAACAACAGAGGUAGGGAUAAAUUCCAUCAUGUACCACAUCUAUCAUUUAUGCAAAAAUUUGUUAACGAGCAAUGAGAAUAACACAUAAGAAAAUGCUGAAAUA